UGUUUCAUGGCCAAACUGGUCAAGGCAUCGCCGAUUAGAGGCGAAGAUGUGGGUUCGAGUCCCGCUUGAGCAA
rfam:Operophtera brumata OBRT01_Sc02557, whole genome shotgun sequence.